rnacentral:lncRNA from 1 species
CUGCAAGCCUGGCUUACGUACAAACACUGUACUGGAUGCUUAAACAAGAAAAUUAAAUAAACCCCUAAUUCAUCACUUUCCUUCAUCCUCCCUUUCACCUGUCACCCUACCUCCACCCCAAGUUUCACAGCCUAAACAGAAGAGAUCAAAAGACUGAAAUAUUAGUGAUAUUUUGGAAGGAAGAAUAGAUGGAAUCCAGAUGGAUGGAAACCUUUAUCUGAUUCUUGCACACAUGGCCACAGGAGGAAUUCUCUUCCAUGAUGUUGACAGCCUCAAUUACAGCAGAAGCUAACAGGGGAAGUAGUAAAACUGAACAGCAGUAAUCCUGGCUGGAAAGUCACUGAUGGUCAAUUAUGAAAGAUCUGUCACAGGAGAAGCCUUCAAUA